AAAAAAUCUUUCAGCAGCCAUGAGAAUGCACCUCAAAGACUUUCCACUACAGGAAGUGUAAUUGACCAAAGAGCCUAGCAGCGCUUACUUAAUACCGAGCUGCUGUUGUCAGUUGUACUCUGACAACUAUCUCCACUUUUACACCGAGGCCAUGCCUCCCACGGGCUGCUUCCAGCCAGUAACUGAGGGCGGCAGGGAUAAUAAUGCAAACUGACUUUGGCUUAAGGACAAAACUUCCUUAGACUGCAUGGCAAACCAAGAUAUUUCCAUCCAACCUCCUGCCCAGUGCGUCUCUCUUUCACUGGCGUCAGACUUGCAUCAUGAUCUGAUGGCUCUUCCAGCCUCCUCCCACUCCUUCCGGGUUUUUUGUUCACGGCAUUUCCCCUAUUAAAUGCUUGCACAUUUAAUCCGUUCUUGGCGACUGACUUUUAGAGGAUCUGAUUAACACAGUUCUAAAUACUUUUUCCAGUCCAAGCUCUCGAGAUUCAUAGCUUAAGUUAGUUUUCACCAAACAGUUUCCCCAAACACUCCAAUGCUAGAAGAGAACAAAUGUGUGCUUUCUACCCCGAUGGUCUGGGAUCCACUACCACAAAAGAGCCAAAGCAAUGUAGCAACAAGAAAAAUGCCUCCCCAGAUGGUGUGUCCAUCCAUGUGGAUAAGUGUCACUGAGAAGACUGAAGCACACCCUGUGCUCUGUGUCCCUCCUGCUGGGCACCCAGCUCUCCAGUGACCCUCGGCUGUCCCUGUGACAUUGGAUUAUAGACUGACCUCUGAAUGUGCCUGAAUAAAAGCAACUCAGAAUUUGGGAGGAUCGUUGGA
rnacentral:lncRNA from 1 species